UGCUUCUGUCGAAUUACUGCGAAAGGGGCAUGAUUUUCUUAAGAUCUCUAGUCUGAUUUGGUUGUAGAAAACAUUUCGAUGCUGGAAGAAGCAGUGGCAAGGGAGACCUGAAUAGUGGCCAGGAAGACAUGAACAGGACUCCGGAGAGCACAUGCACAAUUUUUCUGCUCAGGUUCUGAGAUUAAUUAUGAAAAGAAUCAGAAGUUAACAAGAUAUAAUUAAGAAAGCAGUCCAUCUGAACCAGUCAGAUCUUCCCAGCAAUUGAAAAUAAAUUCAAGAUACAGAUCACAUCCACUGAAUUGUAUAUACCAUAUUUUACUCUCCGGAUAACAGUCAACAGAGCUAAAGAAUUGAUAUUUUUUGAAGAAUGGCGGAGAUCAAAGCUUCAGCUCCACCUCAAAAAAAAAAGAAAUACAAAAAAAAAGGAAAAACGAGAUCCGACACCUGUUCGAUGAGCCGCCGCGCCGUGAGCCCGUCGAAGGCGCGCACCAGGGAGUACGCGCCCGCGGUGAUGAGCAGCGUGGCGGCGCAGU